UACAGAGGUCCCAAGCGUUGUUCGGAUUCAUUGGGCGUAAAGGGUGCGUAGGUGGCGCCGUAAGUGGAGUGUGAAAUUUCGGAGCUUAACUCCGAAACUGCAUUCGAUACUGCGGUGCUUGAGGACUGGAGAGGAGACUGGAAUUUACGGUGUAGCGGUGAAAUGCGUAGAGAUCGUAAGGAAGACCAGUGGCGAAGGCGGGUCUCGUGGACAGUUCCUGACGCUGAGGCACGAAGGCCAGGGGAGCAAACGGGAUUAGAACCUACCGUA
rnacentral:rRNA from 1 species